rnacentral:rRNA from 1 species
UAGGGAAUCUUCCGCAAUGGACGCAAGUCUGACGGAGCAACGCCGCGUGAGUGAAGAAGGAUUUCGGUUCGUAAAACUCUGUUGUUAGAGAAGAACAGCGCAUAGAGUAACUGUUAUGCGUGUGACGGUAUCUAACCAGAAAGCCACGGCUAACUACGUGCCAGCAGCCGCGGUAAUACGUAGGUGGCAAGCGUUGUCCGGAUUUAUUGGGCGUAAAGCGAGCGCAGGCGGUCAAUUAAGUCUGAUGUGAAAGCCCCCGGCUCAACCGGGGAGGGUCAUUGGAAACUGGUUAACGUGAGUGCAGAAGAGGAGAGUGGAAUUCCGUGUGUAGCGGUGAAAUGCGUAGAUAUAUGGAGGAACACCGGUGGCGAAGGCGACCCUCUGGUCUGUAACUGACGCUGAGGCUCGAAAGCGUGGGUAGCAAACAGG